rnacentral:rRNA from 1 species
AGCAGCCGCCGCGGUAAAACGAGGGGGGCAAGCGUUGUUCGGAAUUAUUGGGCGUAAAGGGUGCGUAGGCGGUUUGACAAGUCUUAUGUGAAAUCUUCGGGCUCAACCCGAAGUCUGCAUGAGAAACUGUUGAGCUUGAGUAUGGGAGAGGUGAGUGGAAUUUCCGGUGUAGCGGUGAAAUGCGUAGAUAUCGGAAGGAACACCUGUGGCGAAAGCGACUCACUGGACCAUAACUGACGCUGAGGCACGAAAGCUAGGGGAGCAAACAGGAUUAGAUACCCCCGUAGUCCCUGUCUCUUAUAA